rnacentral:lncRNA from 1 species
GUUAUCAAACACCCAUCAUAAUAAUUAACAUAAAUUAUAGUUGAUACUUAGAUAAACAAAAUAUCAUUAAAACAUACUCAAAAUACACAUCACCCAAGAUUCAAGUUUAAGGUGCAUAGAGUUAAGAGAGUUACUCAAUAGUUACAACACAAAAAAACAUAGUUCAUCCUAACAAUAAUUACUAAUUAUUGUUUGCUCCAUUUUCAUAGUUACUUCCGUCAAAGGAUUUUCUAGGCCCAGUUGGUGACAGAACACCAUCUCCAACGCCAUCUCCAAUGCCAUCUCCAACGCCAUCUCCUAGAUUGGGUGCCUGCAUAACAUAAUAUUGAAAUUGGAGGAACCAAGAUUCUAAUUCUUUGAUAUGGGCUGAAACAAUAUGAGAUCAUAAUUGAAGAAGUGGCUGAAACAACAUUGAGGCUUGAGACACCAAAAACUUCAAUAGAUUUUUUGCUCAACUAAGUAAUGUUGAAGACAAUAAACAGAUGAAGAAGAUAGCUACGGUACAAUUACAAUAAAAAGUAUAGGGGUUGGAAGAGUGGAAAUAACAACGGAAUUUAGGUUGAUUUGAAAUAGGAUCAAGUUCCCAACCUAUGUUAUAGACUUACAGUUAAAUUAGGUUGAUUUGAAACAGGAAAAUAUACUUCAUAUAUAAUCACUGCUAUGUUGACCAUCAACCAAAUAUACUAACAAGCCACCUGCAACUUACCGUGUUACACAUUCUUGAAGCAAACCACCAAAGAUUCUCUUUAUAUAGCCAGUAUGAUAUUGUUUUUACAUAUUUUCAGCAAAUACAUCUUCUCUUAUACUUAAGCACAAACAUUGGAUUCAAGCACAUAAGUUGAAUAAUCAAAUAUAUAUAUAGGACAAAGAUAUUCAAAGUGAAAUUGUUACACUGCUGCAAUAUAUUGAGGAAAUAAAAGCAAGUUAACUGUUAGAAACCAAAGAAGUAC